rnacentral:lncRNA from 1 species
UUUCAUUCACUUCAACAACUCUAUAUUAACUGUUUUCGUUCAUAUUUUUUUCUCCUUUCUCUUUUUUUCUUCUUUUUUUUUUCUUUUUCAUAAGGAGUAUGUAUUAACAUGUAUACAUCCUUCUAUUUUUUUUCAUUCAUUUUUUUCUUUUCUAUUUUCUUUUUCUAUUUUUCCUUUCUUUUUCUACCAACUUCUGAAAUAUUGUAAACAUAAUUAUUC